CACAUGCCCUCUACUGGGGAGCCCUGCAACCCAGCAGAAACCACUCCAGGACAGAGCAUGACACAUCGUGAAGUUAUGAGACUAAACACAGCUUCAUAACUGUUGAGCCCGUGAAGUGACCCGUGAACCACUGGAACUCACCCAGCAUCUGUGGCAUCGGCUUCGUGCUGGGUCCUCUCCCCUGCUCCUUCCCAGCCCUGAGAAGCAGGGCGUCCAUUUUAUGAGGGAGAAAUUUCAACUCCAAAUGUUAAGAAACUUUCUCAAGUGAAACAACACCUUGAACCUACCUUCGUCCCAGCCCAGGGCCCUAAAAUAGCAAUCACCCUGGAAAACAAGACCAAUGAACAUUUACUGAAGAAAGAAAUCUGGUGAACGAUGAUGUGUUGCUGCCCAAGUGUUUGGCUGUAUGGUCUUGGGCAAGACAAUAAAUCGCUUUGCCUUAGGGUUUCUUUGCAACACAAAGAUAAUCCCAGCUAAUUCAAUGUGCAAUGAGAAAGCCAAUGCUGUGACUGGAAAAAAAUGACAUUGAUAUCACUAUUAAAGAGACAAAACACCUAGCACCCACACACAACUGGUGAUCAGUACGUAUCGGUUUUUUCCCAGGGUGUAGCUUUGUGGCAAAGCUGACCUCCUAAAAAAGAAAGUUAACUUGUCUAUAUCCAGAGGACAAAAGACCAAACAAACAAAAAAGCUAAAAAUACUGUUAUCUUUCAUUUUAGAAGUUUCAAAUACUAUGCGGAUUGCUUGCAUUUAUUUAUCUGUAAUUUCUGUUUCCUGCACAGGAAACUCAUUCCCAGGGAACUGGAAUGACAUGAAGGGACCGGCCUCCCUCGCAGGAGGCAAACACCAUCACCAGUUGUCUCAGGAGCAUGACCAUGGUCACACAUGCAUGUGCAUCCUCUCCUUGAAAUGCAGCACCUUCCACGCGUGGCCUGCACUGGCCUCCUUCUCUGACGACAGUGGUCCUGAACUGUCCAUGCAGAGCACAAUGACCACCACCUGCCUUUCAAAGGCUGUCUGCAUCCCGUCCCAGGAUUUCAUGAACUAUUAACCAGUCCUCUCCGCUUACCUUCCCAUCUUUACUGAGAAACACAUGAAUACACACAUCAUUUCCCACAGGGGCAAAUACAUUUCUACACUAUAGACCGAGAUGUAAAACCACUGAUCAAAAAUGUUUGCUAGCUCCUGGCCGGUGCCUUCUGCGGGAGGUGCACCAAUCCGAACCUGACCUGCAGUGCACGCAGGGGUCUACGUCCCACACCCUAACCCACGCAGUGCCAGAAGCUUCCAGAUUUUGUCAACAUGACAGCUGAAAAAUGCUUUCUUGUUGUAAUUUGUAAUUUUAAUUUGUACUUCUCUUAUUUUUAGUGAGCGUGAACAUCUCACGUUUACAAACUAUCUGUACUGAAUGAUUUGUAAUUACCCAUGCCCACUCAUGUUUCCAUUGAGUUGUAGGUCUUCUCUUACUGAUCUGUAGAAAGUAUUUUUAUAUAAAAGUAAUUAACCUUUUAUCUCUGA